GAUGAACGCUGGCGGCGUGCUUAACACAUGCAAGUCGAACGAAGCACCUUGGACAGAUUCUUCGGAUGAAGUUUUUGGUGACUGAGUGGCGGACGGGUGAGUAACGCGUGGGUAACCCUGCCUCAUACAGGGGGAUAACAGUUAGAAAUGGCUGCUAAUACCGCAUAAGCGCACGGUACUGCAUGGUACAGUGUGAAAAACUCCGGUGGUAUGAGAUGGACCCGCGUUGGAUUAGCUAGUUGGCAGGGUAACGGCCGUACCAAGGCGACGAUCCAUAGCCGGCCUGAGAGGGUGGACGGCCACAUUGGGACUGAGACACGGCCCAGACUCCUACGGGAGGCAGCAGUGGGGGAAUAUUGCACAAUGGGGGAAACCCCUGAUGCAGCGACG
rnacentral:rRNA from 1 species